rnacentral:misc_RNA from 1 species
GCAAACUUGGUCAUUUAGAGGAAGUAAAAGUCGUAACAAGGUUUCCGUAGGUGAACCUGCGGAAGGAUCAUUAUUGAAUUUAUCUGGUCUGAGUUGUUGCUGGCUCCUUGAGCAAUGUGUGCACGCUCAUUCCAAUAUUUUUAACCACCUGUGAACCCUUGAUAUAGACCCGAAGCCACCAUCUUCAAACUGUGGUUUGGCUUGGAGGAUCGCUGUGCAAAUGAAAAAUAAGCCAGCUUUUUUGCUCCACUUGGCUCGGGUUUAUAUUUUUUUUCUACAAACACCUAUGAUGUAUUAGAAGGAUGUGAAUACAGGCUUUUUUGGCCUUUAUUAAAACAAAUACAACUUUCAACAACGGAUCUCUUGGCUCUCGCAUCGAUGAAGAACGCAGC